GUGUCAGCCGCCGCGGUAAUACGAAGGGGGCUAGCGUUGCUCGGAAUCACUGGGCGUAAAGGGUGCGUAGGCGGGUUUUUAAGUCAGGGGUGAAAUCCUGGAGCUCAACCCCAGAACUGCCUUUGAUACUGUGGAUCUUGAGUUCGGGAGAGGUGAGUGGAACUGCGAGUGUAGAGGUGAAAUUCGUAGAUAUUCGCAAGAACGCCAGUGGCGAAGGCGGCUCACUGGCCCGAUACUGACGCUGAGGCACGAAAGCGUGGGGAGCAAACAGGAUUAGAAACCCGAGUAGUCC
rnacentral:rRNA from 1 species